UGUUCCGGUGCCGUCGGCCGUCUUUUCCAAGGACCACGGGAGAGAAAGAAACCCCACCAAGCCCCACCCCUCCCGCCCACGGCGCACGCUCACUCGCGUGGGUGAACAUCACCAAUUGAGCUGGAUAUGUGAUGGGUUGCCUGCCCUACGCUCAGCGCAGCACGACACGGCACAACAACCCCAGACAUGCAACGGCCCCCGCCGGGACUGGCAUCCCAAUGCGAGGGCCUGACCACCAAGGAAGCACUACCUUCCCG
rfam:Streptomyces griseoflavus Tu4000 genomic scaffold supercont1.1, whole genome shotgun sequence.